rnacentral:rRNA from 1 species
CAGUAGCCACGGGAAUACGUAGGGCGCAAGCGUUGUCCGGAAUUAUUGGGCGUAAAGAGCUCGUAGGCGGUCUGUCGCGUCUGGUGUGAAAUCCCGAGGCUCAACCUCGGGCUUGCAUCGGGUACGGGCAGACUAGAGUGCGGUAGGGGAGACUGGAAUUCCUGGUGUAGCGGUGGAAUGCGCAGAUAUCAGGAGGAACACCGAUGGCGAAGGCAGGUCUCUGGGCCGCAACUGACGCUGAGGAGCGAAAGCAUGGGGAGCGAACAGGAUUAGAUACCCCAGUAGUCCCUGUCUCUUAUAA